rnacentral:rRNA from 1 species
ACGCUGGCUGCGUGCUUACACAUGCAAGUCGAACGCUGAAGCCUGGUGCUUGCACCGGGUGGAUGAGUGGCGAACGGGUGAGUAACACGUGAGUAACCUGCCCCUGACUUCGGGAUAAGCCCGGGAAACUGGGUCUAAUACCGGAUACGACCGUCGGACGCAUGUCUGGUGGUGGAAAGUUUUUUCGGUUGGGGAUGGGCUCGCGGCCUAUCAGUUUGUUGGUGAGGUAAUGGCUCACCAAGACGACGACGGGUAGCCGGCCUGAGAGGGCGACCGGCCACACUGGGACUGAGACACGGCCCAGACUCCUACGGGAGGCAGCAGUGGGGAAUAUUGCACAAUGGGGGAAACCCUGAUGCAGCGACGCAGCGUGCGGGAUGACGGCCUUCGGGUUGUAAACCGCUUUCAGCAGGGAAGAAGCGAAAGUGACGGUACCUGCAGAAGAAGUACCGGCUAACUACGUGCCAGCAGCCGCCGGUAAU